UAUUUAUAUAUACUGUGAAGUAAAAUUAAAAUUCUUAUAACAUUUGAUUCAAUAAUCAUUUAAAUUUUUUUUAUUAAAUAAUUUUUUGCAUUUAUAAAUUAUGUUAGGUUUGAGACACUUGUAUAAUUACAUAUUUAUAUGUUCCUUGUAUAAUAAACACUGAAAGUGUUAAUAAGUUAAUACAUACAAAGGGGUUUAUGAAAUUUUUGAUCAUUGUGUUACAAUACUUUUGAUAAAAGAGUGAAGGGUGUAGCAUUAUAAAGCUAUUGUCAAUACUAAAUCUUAUACAAAUUUGAUUAUUUUUGAAAAUUUGGAGUAAAUGUUGUUUACAUUUGGUUUUAUUUUUUCAUUGUUCAUAUGGAUGUGCAUAAUAAUGUGAAAAUAUUUUCAAAAAACAAACAUUUGAGUAAAAUGUUGACUACUUUACAUAAAGUUUAUAAAAUUCUGUCAAUUAACACAAGUUACAUUUUGUCAUUUUUUCCCAAUUUU